rnacentral:lncRNA from 1 species
AAGAGUAAUUUUUAAAGUCUUCCAUUGAAAGUUCCAUAUAUUUUAAACACAAAAAGAAAUAGCCUAGCAUACAAACAUUCUAGGGAUUCCCAAAUAAUUUCUCUAAUAGCAGAGAUCUCUGAUGUGCAAGUGGCCAGCGUGUUCCCAAAAUAUAAGCACUUCUAAUCUUGGCAAACUUGUCCUUGAGAUGCCAAUGUUGACUGGUGACUAUCCACAGGCAGGGCUAGAAAAGGGAGUGGAACAUUUUACUUAGGCAGGAAGCACUGAAGAGAAGAAUCUUUUUUUCAGUAGACAUUUGUGGGAAAUAAAAAUUUGUUUAGAAGAAUUUAGGCCAAGAGAUAAAAUGGUCUUCUUUUGACUGAGGAGAGAUAAGAUAGAUUUUAAGCAGACAUCUGAAGUUAAAGGUGAGAGAAGGAAGAUAAACUGGGUGAUUUUGCUCACCUAAGAAGGUACACAGAUCCAAAGAAAAAGAGAUUCGAGAGGUGUCUCCAGCUUCUGAUUUUGAUGACAUCUCCCAGAGAGGACCGUGUUGCCAUCACCAUCCCAGAGUCUGAAAGUGUCCAGUUAUUCCUACAGAUGGAAGGGUGCACUUUCCUGCCCCUUGACUUUGGAAUCAGCGAAAGAGAUAUUAGCAAAAGUGGUAUGAUGAAACUGACACUCCAUAUGUGCUUUAUGGAGUUGUGUUUUCCUGAUUCUUCAUGGUCCAUGUAGAUGUGUUGAUGUCUGUGCAACUGAAGGAACAAUCACCUCUUCCAGUAUUUAUAGACUGCUUUUUGCAGGUCUGCAGGCCUGCCUCUGUGAGUACAGAUGGGUUUGUCUCCAGUGUGUGGGUACACCUGCCUGUGGACUGAGCUGAUCAGGGUUGAAGCUAGGUCACAGAGAUGCUUCAGGAGUUGAAGUUGGAACUGCAGUCAGCCAGCCUGUUACCCAAGAGACAAGCAGAAUACAUUAUCUUUUGUUUUAUGCUGAAGUAGAGUGCAGCAAGCAAAAAGCAGCAAAAGACACAUAAUCAAAGUACUUGGAAUGCUGACUGUAAAAUUAUGCUGAGAACUGGCUGCAUGAUAAGAUGCUUUUCCUUCCUCUUUGUUAUUUGUAUUAUUUUGUAAAGAUAGGCCAGUGUGAGUAUGUCCAAAUAAGCUAAUAAUCUAUUUCCCUUAAAAUUUCAGCAAAUAUUCAAGAGAAUAAAAAUGUAAGUUAUUGUCCACACAGCUAAUGUUAAUUUUUCAUUAACAUAAUUUAAGUCUCGGUGAUAGUUUGAAAAUGUUCAUAAUGUUCAUUAUCUAAUAAAAUAGAUAAUUGUGGAAUUAUCUAACUCGUAGAAGAUUAAUUGUGGAAGAGUUGUUUGUAUAUUUGUAACUGUCUCGUUUUUAGUAAAACCAAUUUUUUUUUCUGAGUUAAAAUAUUAAACAAUGAAAAAGUAAACUCAAUAAAUGUAAUUCAGUGCCUUGCAUAAUAGAAAAAUGUUAACAAGGUAAAAGCUGUUAAAAUUGGGAUGGUUUCAAAUUUUAAUGUGAAAAUUUCUGUGAUAAUUUAAUCUGCUAAUAUAAUGUUUAACUCUAGAUCUCUUUCUUGUGACAUGGCUCGAUGCAAUUUAGGUUGCUGUCAUUAAAAUUCUACAAGCACAUCAUACAGGCCUAUCUGCAGUGUACCCAUUUCUGCUCUACCUAUGUACAUACCUAAACCUGAAAACAGGGU